AUAUCUGAACCUUCGGGGAACGAUAUCGGCGUCGAGCGGCGGACGGGUGAGUAAUGCCUGGGAAAUUGCCCUGAUGUGGGGGAUAACCAUUGGAAACGAUGGCUAAUACCGCAUAAUAGCUUCGGCUCAAAGAGGGGGACCUUCGGGCCUCUCGCGUCAGGAUAUGCCCAGGUGGGAUUAGCUAGUUGGUGAGGUAAGGGCUCACCAAGGCGACGAUCCCUAGCUGGUCUGAGAGGAUGAUCAGCCACACUGGAACUGAGACACGGUCCAGACUCCUACGGGAGGCAGCAGUGGGGAAUAUUGCACAAUGGGCGCAAGCCUGAUGCAGCCAUGCCGCGUGUAUGAAGAAGGCCUUCGGGUUGUAAAGUACUUUCAGCAGUGAGGAAGGUUCAUACGUUAAUAGCGUAUGGAUUUGACGUUAGCUGCAGAAGAAGCACCGGCUAACUCCGUGCCAGCAGCCGCGGUAAUAC
rnacentral:rRNA from 1 species